rnacentral:rRNA from 1 species
AGGGGGCUAGCGUUACUCGGAUUGACUGGGCGUAAAGGGCGCGUAGGCGGUUCGUACAGUCAGACGUGAAAUUCCUGGGCUCAACCUGGGGGCUGCAUUUGAUACGUGCGGGCUUGAGUUCGGAAGAGGAGAGUGGAAUUCCUGGUGUAGCGGUGAAAUGCGCAGAUAUCAGGAAGAACACCCGUGGCGAAGGCGGCUCUCUGGGACGGUACUGACGCUGAGACGCGAAAGCGUGGGGAGCGAACAGG